rnacentral:rRNA from 1 species
GACGAACGCUGGCGGCGUGCUUAACACAUGCAAGUCGAACGGAAAGGCCCUGCUUUUGUUGGGUGCUCGAGUGGCGAACGGGUGAGUAACACGUGAGUAACCUGCCCUUGACUUUGGGAUAACUUCAGGGAACUCGGGCUAAUACCGGAUAGGAGCUCCUGCUGCGUGGUGGGGGUUGGAAAAUUUCGGCGGUUGUGGAUGGACUCGCGGCUUAUCCGCUUGUUGGUGGGGUAGUGGCUUACCAAGGCUUUGACGGGUAGCCGGCCUGAGAGGGUGACCGGCCACAUUGGGCCUGAGAUACGGCCCAGACUGCUACGGGCGGCAGCAGUGGGGAGUAUUGCACAAUGGGGGGAAGCCUGAUGCAGCAACGCUGCGUGCGGGAUGACGGCCUUCGGGUUGUAAACAGCUUUCGACUGUGACGAGGCGUGAGUGACGGUAAUGGGUAAAGAAGCACCGGCUAACUACGUG